rnacentral:lncRNA from 1 species
AAAUGCCAGAUUUGGAUCUUCAAAGAGAAAGGAGAAAGAGGUGAUAAAGCCCCAUGGAAUGUUGCACAAGCGCCUUUUUGAAUGUCAGACGAUUCCCCUUCUUUGAUCAUCUACAAUCGAGAGAAGGAGAAAGAUAUAGUAGGAUGAGCCCAUCCCCUUGUGGGGUGGAAGAGGAUGGAAGUUAUAGCAUGGAGGACUCUUCUUGUACAUACCACCCUAUAUGGCUAUUAUUGGCAAAACAUCUGGAUGGAAAUUGACUGUUUUGGUAAACAAAGACCUCCUAAUUUGUUGCAGCC